GCUUCCUUAGCUCAGUUGGCCAGAGCAACUGACUCUUAAUCAGUGGGCCGCGGGUUCGAAUCCCGCAGGGAGCA
rnacentral:tRNA from 1 species